rnacentral:rRNA from 1 species
AUUGAACGCUGGCGGCAUGCCUUACACAUGCAAGUCGAACGGUAACAGGUUAAGCUGACGAGUGGCGAACGGGUGAGUAAUGUAUCGGAACGUGCCCAGUCGGGGGGGAUAACUGCUCGAAAGAGCAGCUAAUACCGCAUACGACCUGAGGGUGAAAGCGGGGGAUCGCAAGACCUCGCGCGAUUGGAGCGGCCGAUAUCAGAUUAGGUAGUUGGUGAGGUAAAGGCUCACCAAGCCGACGAUCUGUAGCUGGUCUGAGAGGACGACCAGCCACACUGGGACUGAGACACGGCCCAGACUGCUACGGGAGGCAGCAGUGGGGAAUUUUGGACAAUGGGCGCAAGCCUGAUCCAGCCAUGCCGCGUGCGGGAAGAAGGCCUUCGGGUUGUAAACCGCUUUUGUCAGGGAAGAAAAGGUUCUGGCUAAUACCUGGGACUCAUGACGGUACCUGAAGAAUAAGCACCGGCUAACUACGUG